AAUAGAUACCCCGGUAGUCCACGCCGUAAACGAUGAGUGCUAAGUGUUAGAGGGUUUCCGCCCUUUAGUGCUGCAGCUAACGCAUUAAGCACUCCGCCUGGGGAGUACGGCCGCAAGGCUGAAACUCAAAGGAAUUGACGGGGGCCCGCACAAGCGGUGGAGCAUGUGGUUUAAUUCGAAGCAACGCGAAGAACCUUACCAGGUCUUGACAUCCUCUGACAACCCUAGAGAUAGGGCUUUCCUCUUCGGGGGACAGAGUGACAGGUGGUGCAUGGUUGUCGUCAGCUCGUGUCGUGAGAUGUUGGGUUAAGUCCCGCAACGAGCGCAACCCUUGAUCUUAGUUGCCAGCAUUCAGUUGGGCACUCUAAGGUGACUGCCGGUGACAAACCGGAGGAAGGUGGGGAUGACGUCAAAUCAUCAUGCCCCUUAUGACCUGGGCUACACACGUGCUACAAUGGAUGGUACAAAGGGCUGCAAACCUGCGAAGGUAAGCGAAUCCCAUAAAGCCAUUCUCAGUUCGGAUUGCAGG
rnacentral:rRNA from 1 species